rnacentral:rRNA from 1 species
UAGGGAAUUUUCCACAAUGGACGAAAGUCUGAUGGAGCAACGCCGCGUGAACGAUGAAGGUCUUCGGAUUGUAAAGUUCUGUUGUCAGGGACGAACACGUACCGUUCGAAUAGGGCGGUACCUUGACGGUACCUGACGAGAAAGCCACGGCUAACUACGUG